rnacentral:rRNA from 1 species
UGUGUAGGCGGUUUGGUAAGUCUGGUGUGAAAUCUCCCGGCUCAACUGGGAGGGUGCGCCGGAAACUGCUGGACUCGAAUGCGGGAGAGGAAAGUGGAAUUCCUGGUGUAGCGGUGAAAUGCGUAGAUAUCAGGAGGAACACCGGUGGUGUAGACGGCUUUCUGGACCGUAACUGACGCUGAGACACGAAAGCGUGGGUAGCAAACAGGAUUAGAUACCCUGGUAGUCCACGACCCUAAACGAUGCAUAUUUGGUGUGGGCAGUUCAUUCUGUCCGUGCCGGAGCUAACGCGUUAAAUAUGCCGCCGUGGGGAGUACAGUCGCAAGGCUGAA